rnacentral:rRNA from 1 species
CUUUUUGAAUUUUUUUAAAAGUCUAGCCUGCCCACUGAAUAAUUUUUUUAAAUGGCCGCAGUAUACUAACUGUGCAAAGGUAGCAUAAUCAUUAGUCUUUUAAUUGAAGGCUGGUAUGAAUGGUUGGACGAGAUAUUAACUGUUUCAUUAAAAUUUAUAAUAGAAUUUUAUUUUUUAGUCAAAAAGCUAAAAUGUAUUUAAAAGACGAGAAGACCCUAUAAAUCCUUAUAUUUAGAUUAUUAUAAUUUUGUAGAUUUUUUUUGUUAUAAUUAUUAAUAAUAUUUUAUUGGGGUGAUAUUAAAAUUUAAUAAACUUUUAAUUGUUAAAAUCAUUAAUUUAUGAAUAAUUGAUCCGUUAUUAGCGAUUAAAAAAAUAAGUUACUUUAGGGAUAACAGCGUAAUUUUUUUGGAGAGUUUAAUCGAUAAAAAAGAUUGCGACCUCGAUGUUGG